rnacentral:rRNA from 1 species
GAUGAACGCUAGCGAUAGGCUUAACACAUGCAAGUCGAGGGGCAGCAUUAUUUUAGCUUGCUAAGAUAGAUGGCGACCGGCGCACGGGUGCGUAACGCGUAUGCAACCUGCCUGUAAUUAGGGAAUAACCCGGUGAAAGUCGGACUAAUACCCUAUAUUCUUCUUUUUCCGCAUGGGGAAAGACGGAAAGAUUUAUUGAUUACAGAUGGGCAUGCGUCCCAUUAGCUCGUUGGUAAGGUAACGGCUUACCAAGGCAACGAUGGGUAGGGGGACUGAGAGGUUGACCCCCCACACUGGUACUGAGACACGGACCAGACUCCUACGGGAGGCAGCAGUGAGGAAUAUUGGUCAAUGGGCGAGAGCCUGAACCAGCCAAGUCGCGUGAAGGACGACGGUUCUAUGGAUUGUAAACUUCUUUUGUAGAGGAAUAAUGGCAGCUACGCGUAGCUGAGAUGCAU